UACGAGGGGAGCAAGCGUUGUUCGGAUUUACUGGGCGUAAAGGGCGCGUAGGCGGCCACGACAAGUCACUUGUGAAAUCUCCGGGCUUAACUCGGAACGGUCAAGUGAUACUGUCGGGCUAGAGUACAGAAGGGGCAACUGGAAUUCUCGGUGUAGCGGUGAAAUGCGUAGAUAUCGAGAGGAACACCUGCGGCGAAGGCGGGUUGCUGGGCUGAUACUGACGUUGAUGCGCGAAAGCCAGGGGAGCGAACGGG
rnacentral:rRNA from 1 species